rnacentral:rRNA from 1 species
UGCAGUCGAGCGAGUCUUCGGACUUAGCGGCGGACGGGUGAGUAACGCGUGGGAACGUGCCCUUUGCUUCGGAAUAGCCCCGGGAAACUGGGAGUAAUACCGAAUGUGCCCUUCGGGGGAAAGAUUUAUCGGCAAAGGAUCGGCCCGCGUUGGAUUAGGUAGUUGGUGGGGUAAUGGCCUACCAAGCCGACGAUCCAUAGCUGGUUUGAGAGGAUGAUCAGCCACACUGGGACUGAGACACGGCCCAGACUCCUACGGGAGGCAGCAGUGGGGAAUCUUAGACAAUGGGCGCAAGCCUGAUCUAGCCAUGCCGCGUGAUCGAUGAAGGCCUUAGGGUUGUAAAGAUCUUUCAGGUGGGAAGAUAAUGACGGUACCACCAGAAGAAGCCCCGGCUAACUCCGUGCCAGCAGCCGCGGUAAUACGGAGGGGGCUAGCGUUAUUCGGAAUUACUGGGCGUAAAGCGCACGUAGGCGGAUCGGAAAGUCAGAGGUGAAAUCCCAGGGCUCAACCCUGGAACUGCCUUUGAAACUCCCGAUCUUGAGGUCGAGAGAGGUGAGUGGAAUUCCGAGUGUAGAGGUGAAAUUCGUAGAUAUUCGGAGGAACACCAGUGGCGAAGGCGGCUCACUGGCUCGAUACUGACGCUGAGGUGCG